CUUCGGUGAUGAUACGAUGACGAGUCGGAACAGAACUCAGUCUGGUUCUGGUGGUUACUGGCUCAGAUUCACGUUCUGUGAUUCUGUUCCAGUUCCUCAGAGCAGGGAGUCCUUUCAUUUGAAGACAUCGAGGCAUUUGUCUGAGAAGG